GGAAUCCUGUCUGUCGACCCUGACGCGUGACGCCUGACAUUUACAGCUUUGACUGUGAUAUAUAAUGGUAAUAUGUUUAUCUAAAAGCAGAGAGAUUUUGUGGCAUUGCAGAGAGCGAAUAAGCGGAAUGGAAAAAUAGGUCAGAUGACUCUGGCAAGGUAUAGCCUAGAAUAGAUGCUAUUAUACCAUGCCUGAUGCAUGAUUGUUGCAGCCUCUUCAAUUGAAUGAACAAUGACAAAAGUUACUAAGACAACUACAAUCCUACAGCAUUGAAAGUGCUAAAAGAAGACAAUUGCUUACCAUUUGCUGGCAAAUUGGGAUCUUGCUUAAAAGUACUUGAUACCUUUUUCAUGGGAAACCUCAUUUCGCAUUCUUCUGCCAUUUUGAUUUACUUUUAUCAAAGUGUCAACCAUUUUUUUAGUCUGUAGACUGACAAAUUCAGGAUGAUUUUACUUCCAAGCAUUGACACAACAUACAUCUCCAUGUAAAGUCUUAAUUAACAUCAAUCCAUUUUAUGUAGGAGUCGAUUUUUAAUUUUUGCUUGACAAACGGAUAAGUUGAAUGGUUAAGUAUGGUUGUUGCCCAGCAGAUUCAAACAUCAUAGUUUUGGUCGCACCUAUUGCCCCUCAAAAUUUUGAGGGGCAAUAGACUUUUCCUAUAGUUUUUAUUAACAUUUACUAGACAGAAAAAAAUGUGUUGGUGAAUGUCGUCAAGAAUGCAGAUGAUUUAGUUAAUUUACUGUGGUAUCAACCUAAUCAAAAUCUUCAUAUGUGAAGUGCUUUCAGACUUCAUUGGUGCUGAAUUUUUGAGUAUAUUAUCACCAGAAUGUCAUACAAAAUAACUUGGGCAGAAAACAGAUACCUUUGGACAAUGGUUACACCAAGGGCAGUGAAUGCAUUUCUCUUUUCACCAUUGGUCAGCUGACUUGCCUUCCCAGUUGCAAUGAAGAAGAAUGAUUAGUCAAAAGUAUUAAAAGGUAUUGUGAUCAAUCAGAUAUUGAUUUCCUAGUUGCAUGACAACUGUGGAAGUUGUCAUACAACUAUACAGCUGUAUUCACCUGUUUGUUAACAAAGAAACAAGCAACAGUUAUGGUUCGUUUGGUUGGAGCCCUUUGUCAACAAAGGGAGAGAGGACCAAGUCAAACGUAUCCGAAAGGUACGGGGUUACAAGAUGGAAGCUUAGCCACGGUUUAUUGUCAAACAAAUAGACACGGCUGUCGGAGCCCUUUGUGCGCAGGGCAUUUGACGAACCGGGCACUCAAAUGACGCUAAAGACUUUUCACUUUGUUGGUGUGGCACCGAUGAACAUCACACAGGAACUUUCUGGAUUAAGGAAAUCAUUAACGUCCUAAAGGCCUUUAGUACACCUGUUAUCUCCACCCAGCUUCUAAUUGUUGACGACCAGGAAUAUGCGCGACAAGUUAAAGGAAGGGUCGAAAACAAUUUUCGGAGAAAUAAAUUAAACAAUUUUUCGUUAUCAUUAUUUUUCAAUUGUCUUUUUAUGUGACGGGAUAUUUCGAUGAAGUAUAACUGCCUGAUGAUGUUUAAUGUCGAUUAAAUUAGACAUUAACCGAAUCCGCUUGCUAAAACUCGAGGUGGCUGCAAAUUCUAUCCAGUAGAGCCUCUGUAUACAUGUAAACUGAAAAUAAAACCUGCUUUCAUCGAAGUCAUUAGUGAAACAAUACAAAUUGUAAAGCUGUGCUCCAUCUGCAAAAUCGUCAAUGUAUCUGUGAGGCAGUACCUCAAAGAACAGUUGCCUAGGGACUUCAUACAGGGUUUGCCAACUGCUAGCCGAGCUGUCAUCAACAUCGACGAUACAAGGAAACCGCAUAGAUAGUGUGUAGGUUUUGAUUUCUAUAUCAGCUGCAGCAAUGACAAUGACCAUGACUAACAUGUGGAAAUGAUAGCAAACGGCGUAAACAUUUUUAGAAGAAAACAGAAAGUUUUCAAUUUUUUUUUAAAAUUCCCAAUGUCAAGGUUUAUCUGUUAACUGCUUCAAAUUGGCUCAGAAUUAGGCAGCAAUUUUGGAAGUUGUUGCUUUCUCAGUAUGAAUGAGUUUCAAUGUUGGUGUUGCAGGUGUUACCCAUGUUACGUUGACUGUUUGGAUUCCUAUUCAUUAACAUUUCAAAACCAAAUUCAUCUUCUUAAAAUUGACUCGAAAGGAUUUGGAUCAUUCUAGGAACAUAUCUAUCAAAGAUGCAAAGCUCUAAUGGGAUUAAUUUAUCCGUCAAGUACGUUUUCAUUUGCAGUCUGUAUGUCCUUUCCGAAGGCUCUGCCAGAAGAAUAUGCUAAAUAAUGAAUUUAUGAAUCGCGUAAGUUACACGAGCAAGAAUUUUUAUGCCUAACGAUGUU